rnacentral:rRNA from 1 species
CAGCACCUCAAGUGGUCAGGAUGAUUAUUGGGCCUAAAGCAUCCGUAGCCGGCGCUGUAAGUUUUCGGUUAAAUCUGUACACUCAACGUACAGGCUGCCGGGAAUACUGCAGCGCUAGGGAGUGGGAGAGGUAGACGGUACUCGGUAGGAAGGGGUAAAAUCCUUUGAUCUAUUGAUGACCACCUGUGGCGAAGGCGGUCUACCAGAACACGUCCGACGGUGAGGGAUGAAAGCUGGGGGAGCAAACCGGAUUAGAGACCCGAGUAGUCC